rnacentral:rRNA from 1 species
CGGCUGGCGGCGUGCCUAAUACAUGCAAGUCGAGCGCGGGAAGCGGACAAUCACCCUCGGGGUGUGCGUCCGUGGAACGAGCGGCGGAUGGGUGAGUAUCACGUGGGCAACCUGCCUGUAAGAUUGGGAUAACUCGCGGAAACGUGAGCUAAUACCGAAUGAAGUCUUUCACCGCCUGGUGAAAGGAUGAAAGAUGGCUCUUGAGCUAUCACUUACAGAUGGGCCCGCGGCGCAUUAGCUAGUUGGUGGGGUAAAGGCCUACCAAGGCGACGAUGCGUAGCCGACCUGAGAGGGUGAUCGGCCAUACUGGGACUGAGACACGGCCCAGACUCCUACGGGAGGCAGCAGUAGGGAAUCUUCCGCAAUGGACGAAAGUCUGACGGAGCAACGCCGCGUGAGUGAAUGAAGGUCUUCGGAUCGUAAAAACUCUGUUGUCAGGGAAGAACAAGUUGUGUUCUAACAGGACAUGACCUUGACGGUACCUGACCAGAAAGCCCCGGCUAACUACGUGCCAGCAGCAGC